CGCGGACAUCUUUCGAAUGGGCGGAAGUGCCUUGGACAUGAUUUCCUUGGAAUAGAUUUAGAGUCAGUCAUGCAAAGCUUCUCAAGGAGAAAUUUAUUUUUUUUAACCAUUUUUUCUAAAUAGUCCACCAUGGAGAGGGAUCGCAGUGGCUGACGCACACUGGAAAUUGCCUUAAGAUUAUAAUGGAGCUCACUUUGGGAGAAAGAUGUCAUAGAUUACCCGUACUAUCACUGCCAGCACUCCAGAAGGGCACCAGACAGGGAACAGGAGCCCUAAAUAAAUAUUGGAUUGAUAUAAUUCUUUUAAUGUGUUUAGUGGUUACUCCCCAGGGCUUCUUCCUCCUGGUGUAUACAUGUUUUCCUAGAAGUGGCUUUUGGAAGUGUUCAGGGAACAGAAAAGAAGACGAGAAGGGAGCAAAGAAAGAUGAGGGAUGCUUCAUAGUACUACCUGAUGGAAGACGAUAGCUCUUCACCAUCUGGCAUGAAUUAAAACUCUGAGAACUUCAGUUGUCAUGUUGAAUAGUUUGAUAUGGAAGAAUAAAUAAAAAGGGGGGGAUAUAAGUUUAUGAUUUCUAACAAAUCCAUAAAGAAAAAUAGUAUACCGAUAUGUAAUGCAUUCGGGGACACUGAAUAAACUGCACUCUCCCUUUAAGUACAACUCAGGCCCUAGAUUUCCCCCCCCCCCCCCCAUUUCUUCCCUUGGCAUAUAAAUAAUGCUGUUGCAGAUUUGUGUUAACAGCCCCUUCAUGGAACUGCAUAUAAUUGUCUUGACUUACUGUGUGUUUCAUGUGCUAUUAAACCUUGAUUAUAAAAUUCUGUCUCCAA
rnacentral:lncRNA from 11 species